rnacentral:rRNA from 1 species
UGGCUCAGGAUGAACGCUGGCGGUAUGCCUAACACAUGCAAGUCGUACGAGAGUUUUUAACUCUAGUGGCGGACGGUGAGUAACACGUGAGAAUUUGCCUUUAGGAGGGGGACAACAAUCGGAAACGAAUGCUAAUACCCCAUAUGCUUUCGAGUGAAAUGGAUUUUAUCCGCCUAGAGAGAAGCUCGCGGCUGAUUAGCUAGUUGGUGGGGUAAAGGCCUACCAAGGCGACGAUCCAUAGCUGGUCUGAGAGGAUGAUCAGCCACAUUGGGACUGAGACACGGCCCAAACUCCUACGGGAGGCAGCAGUGGGGAAUAUUGGACAAUGGGCGCAAGCCUGAUCCAGCCAUGCCGCGUGAGUGAUGAAGGCCCUAGGGUUGUAAAGCUCUUUCACCGGUGAAGAUAAUGACGGUAACCGGAGAAGAAGCCCCGGCUAACUUCGUG